GAUGAACGCUGGCGGCGUGCCUAACACAUGCAAGUCGAACGGAGUCCCGCCUUAGAGACCUUCGGGUCAAAGAGGGGAAGACUGAGUGGCGGACGGGUGAGUAACACGUGGGCAACCUGGCUCAUAGAGGGGGAUAACAGAGAGAAAUUUCUGCUAAUACCGCAUAAGCACACACUGCCGCAUGGCAGAGUGUGAAAAGAGAAUCGCUAUGAGAUGGACCCGCGUCUGAUUAGCCAGUUGGCAGGGUAAGAGCCUACCAAAGCGACGAUCAGUAGCCGAUUUGAGAGGAUGAACGGCCACAUUGGGACUGAGACACGGCCCAAACUCCUACGGGAGGCAGCAGUGGGGGAUAUUGCACAAUGGGGGGAACCCUGAUGCAGCGACGCCGCGUGAGUGAAGAAGUAUUUCGGUAUGUAAAGCUCUAUCAGCAGGGAAGAUAAUGACAGUACCUGAAGAAGAAGCCCCGGCUAACUACGUG
rnacentral:rRNA from 1 species